rnacentral:lncRNA from 1 species
AACCUGUGUGGGGCCCUCGACCAUAAUGCUGGUGGCUGAGUACUCAUCACUGUCCACAGGAGCUCUGCUGCCAAAACUAGGUCCACUCACUCACCCUACGUACAUUAAGCAUUGACCUGAUGGCAGAAGUGGCCGGGGUUGUAGGAACAAAGACAUGCUAAGACAAGAAUCCUACUGCAGAAAGGGGUCUGUGAGCCCAUGCUGAUCUCCAUGGCCUCAUUGGCUGCACCAUGGCAGGCACGAGGUGUUGGUGAAGUCCCUCUAGAGAGCAGCCCUGAAGUCCUCCUUUACUCUGCAGAACCUGCUCAUCAAGCACUCGACAA